rnacentral:rRNA from 1 species
AGCGGAGGAAAAGAAACCAACAGGGAUUGCCUCAGUAACGGCGAGUGAAGCGGCAAGAGCUCAAAUUUGAAAGCUGGCUCCUUCGGGGUCCGCAUUGUAAUUUGCAGAGGAUGCUUCGGGAGCGGCCCCCAUCUAAGUGCCCUGGAACGGGCCGUCAUAGAGGGUGAGAAUCCCGUCUGGGAUGGGGUGCCCGCGCCCGUGUGAAGCUCCUUCGACGAGUCGAGUUGUUUGGGAAUGCAGCUCUAAAUGGGUGGUAAAUUUCAUCUAAAGCUAAAUACUGGCCGGAGACCGAUAGCGCACAAGUAGAGUGAUCGAAAGAUGAAAAGCACUUUGAAAAGAGAGUUAAACAGCACGUGAAAUUGUUGAAAGGGAAGCGCUUGCGACCAGACUCGCUCGCGGGGUUCAGCCGGCCUUCGGGCCGGUGUACUUCCCCGCGGGCGGGCCAGCGUCGGUUUGGGCGGCCGGUCAAAGGCCCUCGGAAUGUAACGCCCCCCGGGGCGUCUUAUAGCCGAGGGUGCCAUGCGGCCAGCCCGGACCGAGGAACGCGCUUCGGCUCGGACGCUGGCAUAAUGGUCGUAAGCGACCCGUCUU